AAUGGAGAGUUUGAUCCUGGCUCAGGACGAACGCUGGCGGCGUGCUUCAUACAUGCAAGUCGAACGAGAAGCUCACUUCGGUGAGUGGAAAGUGGCGGACGGGUGAGUAAUGUGUAGAGAAUCUGCCCUUGAGUGGGGGACAACAGCUGGAAACGGUUGCUAAUACCCCAUAUGAGAUAUUUUGCAAUAAAUAUCUUGAAAACUCCGGUGCUCAAGGAUGAGUCUGCAUCUGAUUAGCUAGUUGGGGGUGUAAUGGACCACCAAGGCGACGAUCAGUAGCUGGUUUGAGAGGAUGAUCAGCCACAAUGGGACUGAGACACGGCCCAUACUCCUACGGGAGGCAGCAGUAGGGAAUUUUGCGCAAUGGGCGAAAGCCUGACGCAGCAACGCCGCGUG
rnacentral:rRNA from 1 species